CAGUCGCCGCGGUAAUACGUAGGGUGCAAGCGUUAAUCGGAAUUACUGGGCGUAAAGCGUGCGCAGGCGGUUUGUUAAGGCAGAUGUGAAAUCCCCGGGCUCAACCUGGGAACUGCAUUUGUGACUGGCAAACUAGAGUGUGGCAGAGGGGGGUGGAAUUCCGCGUGUAGCAGUGAAAUGCGUAGAUAUGCGGAGGAACACCGAUGGCGAAGGCAGCCCCCUGGGCCAAUACUGACGCUCAUGCACGAAAGCGUGGGGAGCAAACAGGAUUAGAUACCCCAGUAGUCCCUGUCUCUUAUAC
rnacentral:rRNA from 1 species